GACGAACGCUGGCGGCAUGCCUAAUACAUGCAAGUCGAACGCUUUAACCUCACCGGGUGCUUGCACCCAACGAAGUUAAAGAGUGGCGGACGGGUGAGUAACACGUGGGUAACCUGCCCAUAAGAGGGGGAUAACAUUCGGAAACGGAUGCUAAUACCGCAUAUUUCUAAUCGUCUCCUGACGAAUGGAAGAAAGGUGGCUUCGGCUACCGCUUAUGGAUGGACCCGCGGCGUAUUAGCUAGUUGGUGAGGUAAUGGCUCACCAAGGCGAUGAUACGUAGCCGACCUGAGAGGGUGAUCGGCCACACUGGGACUGAGACACGGCCCAG
rnacentral:rRNA from 1 species